rnacentral:rRNA from 1 species
AAUGAACGCUGGCGGCGCGCCUAAUACAUGCAAGUCGAGCGAGAAGACGUAGCAAUACGUUUGUAAAGCGGUGAACGGGUGAGGAAUACAUGGGUAACCUACCCUAGAGUGGGGAAUAACUAGCCGAAAGGUUAGCUAAUACCGCGUACGCUCCUUGGACUUCGGUUCAGGGAGGAAAGCGAUGCCGAGGGUAUCGCGCUCUUGGAUGGGCUCAUGUCCUAUCAGCUGUUGGUGAGGUAACGGCUCACCAAGGCUUCGACGGGUAGCUGGUCUGAGAGGACGAUCAGCCACACUGGCACUGCGACACGGGCCAGACUCCUACGGGAGGCAGCAGUAAGGAAUAUUGCGCAAUGGGCGAAAGCCUGACGCAGCGACGCCGC